AAAAAGCAGAAAAUAAGGACCUGUUAGAUCACUCCUCUUGAGAAUGCUUUUUGUAAAGGAGCCCGAGAAGGAAGGGUCACGCGAUUUCUUUGCAGCACGUUUCAAGAAGGCAGAAAAAAACCACGAAACCCACCCUCAUAUCUUUUAAGAGGAGUCACAGACACAUGCACCCACACGUUCAACCCCGCAGUGAGGAAUGAAGCAGGCACUACCCACUCAGUCUCACCAAGGGACGCCAGCCUGUCCCGUCUCGCCCCACCCCCCUCGCACUCCUUGCUUCCCCCAGGAUAAUCCUCUCUUGGGGCUGCUCUGCCCAGACAGACAGAGAAGAGCAAAGGGAGAGCGAGUGUGCGCCCACGGCCAAAGCCUGCCCGGGUUACGCAGAGAGCGAGCGAGCGCGCGCGCCCCGACCCAGCAUCUACAGGCAGAUUCCUGCGUGGUUGUCCGCCGAGGGAGCCGGGCAGGCUGACGCGGCUUUUCGCCGUCUACCCGGCAUCUAUGAUUAUGACUAUGAUUGUUUAUUCAAGUACCCCAUCUGGAGGAUACCUGAAACCCUACCUCGUAUGCCUUGGAGGUGUCAGAAGUUAGUGCUCAGGUGUGCCUUAAACAUUCUGAGGAUAUUCAAUAAACUUAAAAAAAAAAAAACCCCAAAACAAGCGGUUUUUAAACAAGUUCACGUUUUCCUAUACAGUCCUCAUUCUUCUUUGUAUGUUGAAAUGUUUGUGGUUGUUAUUUGCAAAGUUCACAGGGGAAAAAAUAUGAAAAUAUAAGAGUAGGGAAUAUGUAUUUAUAUAAGCGUUUGCUAUGUAUAGGGAGCUUUACACAUAUCUCGUUUUAUCCUCACAACAGCCCUGAGAGAAGCUAUUGACCCCAGUUUACAAAUGAGGAAACUGAGGCAGAGGUUAGGUGACUUGCCCAAGGUCCCUAGUACGUGUCAGAGGCCCAUUUUGAAAUCAUGUCUUCCGGACUCCAGGUCCAGAGCUCUAUCUAGCAGCUCUAUCGCUGCUUCUAAGGGUGUGAAUAGGGGGGAUAUUUUAAAUAAAUGAGUAGUUGAUAGGGAGAUUAGGUAGGUA
rnacentral:lncRNA from 1 species